UGGGGAAUAUUGGACAAUGGGGGCAACCCUGAUCCAGCCAUGCCGCGUGUGUGAAGAAGGCCUUUUGGUUGUAAAGCACUUUAAGCAGGGAGGAGAGGCUAAUGGUUAAUACCCAUUAGAUUAGACGUUACCUGCAGAAUAAGCACCGGCUAACUCUGUGCCAACAGCCGCGGUAAUACAGAGGGUGCGAGCGUUAAUCGGAAUUACUGGGCGUAAAGCGAGUGUAGGUGGCUCAUUAAGUCACAUGUGAAAUCCCCGGGCUUAACCUGGGAACUGCAUGUGAUACUGGUGGUGCUAGAAUAUGUGAGAGGGAAGUAGAAUUCCCAGGUGUAGCGGUGAAAUGCGUAGAGAUCUGGAGGAAUACCGAUGGCGAAGGCAGCUUCCUGGCAUAAUAUUGACACUGAGAUUCGAAAAGCGUGGGUAGCAAAACAGGAUUAGAUACCCUGGUAGUCCACGCCGUAAACGAUGUCUACUAGCCGUUGGGGUCCUUGAGACUUUAGUGGCGCAGUUAACGCGAUAAGUAGACCGCCUGGGGAGUACGGCCGCAAGGUUAAAAACUC
rnacentral:rRNA from 1 species